rnacentral:rRNA from 1 species
GACGAACGCUGGCGGCGUGCUUAACACAUGCAAGUCGAACGGAAAGGCCCUGCGUUUGUGGGGUGCUCGAGUGGCGAACGGGUGAGUAACACGUGAGUAACCUGCCCUUGACUUUGGGAUAACUUCAGGAAACUGGGGCUAAUACCGGAUAGGAGCUCCUGCUGCAUGGGGGGGGUUGGAAAGUGUCGGCGGUUGGGGAUGGACUCGCGGGUUAUCCGCUUGAUGGUCGGGUAGUUGCGUACCAAGGCUUUGACGGGUAGCCGGCCUGAGAGGGUGACCGGCCACAUUGGGCCUGAGAUAGGGCGCAGAAGGGUACGGGCGGCAGUAGUGGGGAACCUUGCGGAAUGGGCGGAAGCCUGAUGCGGCAACGCCGCGUGCGGGAUGCCGGCUUUCGGGUUGUAAACAGAUUUCGAAUGUGCCGAAGCGUGAGUGACGGUAAUGGGUAAAGAAGCAACGGCUAACUACGUG